GCGAGGCUGAAAAGCGUAGUCGAUGGAAAACAGGUUAAUAUUCCUGUACUUCUGGUUAUUGCGAUGGAGGGACGGAGAAGGCUAGGCCAGCUUGGCGUUGGUUGUCCAAGUUUAAGGUGGUAGGCUGGAAUCUUAGGUAAAUCCGGGAUUCUAAGGCCGAGAGCUGAUGACGAGUGUUCCUUUGGAACACGAAGUGGUUGAUGCCAUGCUUCCAAGAAAAGCUUCUAAGCUUCAGGUAACCAGGAACCGUACCCCAAACCGACACAGGUGGUUGGGUAGAGAAUACCAAGGCGCUUGAGAGAACUCGGGUGAAGGAACUAGGCAAAAUGGCACCGUAACUUCGGGAGAAGGUGCGCCGGUGAGGGUGAAGGACUUGCUGCGUAAGCCCACGCCGGUCGAAGAUACCAGGCCGCUGCGACUGUUUAUUAAAAACACAGCACUCUGCAAACACGAAAGUGGACGUAUAGGGUGUGACGCCUGCCCGGUGCCGGAAGGUUAAUUGAUGG
rnacentral:rRNA from 1 species